rnacentral:rRNA from 1 species
UUGGAAUACUUUUGUAACGAAUAAAGAAAAUACAGGUAAAACCUUGAUACACAUGACGGACAGGUGAGCAAAUGUGUAAGAACCUACCAUUGGGAGGGGAAUAAUAGCUGGAAACGGCAGCUAAUAUCCCGUAGGCCGAGGAACAAAAGGAGGAAUCCGCCCGAGGAGGGGCUCACGUUUGAUUAGCUAGUUGGUGGGGCAAUAACUUACCAAGGCGAUGAUCAGUAGUUGGUCCGAGAGGAUGAUCAGCCCACACUGAGACACGGCCCAGACUCCUACGGGAGGCAACAAGGGGGGGGGGAUUUUCCGCAAUGGGCUAAAGCCUGACAGAGCAA